AUACUAUAGUUUCUCUGCAGCUUGUAUAAGUCUUUUGCCUUUUACUAAAGACUUCUGUGGAGAUAAACACUCCACAGAAUAAUCCCUCUGCUUGGCUCUACUGCUUCCCCAAGA